rnacentral:misc_RNA from 1 species
GCGAAAUGCGAUAAGUAGUGUGAAUUGCAGAAUUCAGUGAAUCAUCGAAUCUUUGAACGCACAUUGCGCCCCUUGGUAUUCCAUGGGGCAUGCCUGUUCGAGCGUCAUUUGUACCCUCAAGCUCUGCUUGGUGUUGGGUGUUUGUCCCGUCUCCGCGCGUGGACUCGCCCCAAAGUGAUUGGCAGCCGGCGUACUGGUCCCGGAGCGCAGCACAUGUCGCGCAAACGAGUGCCUUGGUACGGCGGCGUCCAUAAGCCCCUCUCUCACGCUCUUGACCUCGGAUCAGGUAGGAAUACCCGCUGAACUUAA